rnacentral:SRP_RNA from 2 species
GCCGAGUUGGGUAACGUUAGCUUAUGACUCCAGUGAGGGCAAUACGGUGGUGGAAUAACACUAUGGUUUAACUGGGCUGGGCUUUGAUUGCAAAAUGUUCGCCUGCCCGCUCCAAGUGGAGAGUUGGCCCACGAGAUCGGAGCGAAGGCUUGGAUUUCUUGAGCCCUAAAGUGGAGGGCACUGCGUCAGGCUGGUUUCACAGAGCAACGAGAACCUUCCUCUCUUGACAGUGGAGGGACCACCACCUAUUUUUACUUUUGAUCCAUGAAAUAUGGUUUUUGUUUGAUUUUUAUUCAAUUUUGAA